AGGGACGGGACCACUUCAGCUGUGAAGCCGCUUACACUGAGUUUUGACAAGGAGAGUAAGUGUUCGGGGAGCCUGGGUUGACAAAACAGUGUGGCAAUGAGACCUCGACCAUGGGCAUCUUUCUGGAUCCCAGGUUCCCACCUCAGCAUUUCUGGUUCUUUUGCCCAAAGCUUUCGUCUAUUUCUAGAAGGACAGAGGAAUACUGACACGUUGACAAUGGCUCCUCUCUCCCCGAAGUCCUGUCUCCCACAAGGUUUUGAAUUCAUGGCUCCAGCAUGUGGCCUAUUUUACAAUGCAUCUUUUGUUUUCACACUGAGGUGCUACUACAAAGAAAACUGGGGCAGAGAACAUGCAGCGAGCAGAAGAACACCUUUUUUUUAGAUACUACAUGUUUGGGCCAAAGAGAGUUUCCGGACAAUGCCUACGUUACGGAGCGGCAGACAGCGGUGCAUACCUUUACUAGGCAAUUCUUAUGGCCAGGCACAGAGCCGUUUACAUAGAUGAUGUUGUGCUUCGUGUUCACUCUCCACACCUACAACAAGAGGCAAACAACUUGUGAGAGAUGAAGGCUCCGGGACUAGUGAGCAGUGUUACUUCAACCAAGAAGCACCGUCCAGUCGUGAGCACGCGGGAACUGAGGGCAGAGCAGAGGCUGCUAGCUCAGUCAUGUUUUAGUCAUGUAAGAGCAUUAGUGCACCUCACUUGAUGUGUAGCUGCUGACGACUACUUCAACUCCAUGGAGGCUGCUGCCGCCGAGGAAGAUGGGAAAUUCAGUUCUGGUACUGUUACUUUAGUACAACUAGUCACUGGGAAUUCAUAACUCACUGAUUCUAAUCUCUAAAUUAAGCAGGAAAGCAGGCUGCCUUUAGAGACAUCUCAACAUGGAGGAAAACAAACACACAAAUGGAAGGGAAUGUUAAAAAAAAUGACAGUAAGAAAAUAAACAGCACAGAGGAAACUGAUGGACUCUACUAAGGUAAAAUAGCAAUGGUGGCCAACAGACUUAGAUUUAUCUGAUAAUUAACUCUAGGUGCUGACUUGACUUGACUGAAGAGUGCUGACAAUAAACCUGCCUUGUGUGCCUGCGA